GGCUGACCCAAACAUAUUGAAUUAUCUGAAUGGCAAGGAUGGUCAAUUGAAUUCCUUGGUCUAUAUUUUCUGCUUGUCCUAACUCUUCUCUCACUACUACACUUGAUUAGUCUUAA
rnacentral:Y_RNA from 1 species